GGCGAACGGGUGAGUAACACGUGACCAACCUGCCUCUUACAUUGGGGCAACCAAAAGAAAUUCUGGCUAAUACCAAAUACUCCGCACAUAUCACAUGAUGUAUGCGGGAAAGCUUUUGCGGUAAGAGAUGGGGUCGCGGCCCAUUAGGUAGACGGCGGGGUAGAAGCCCACCGUGCCGAUGAUGGGUAGCCGGGUUGAGAGACCGACCGGCCACAUUGGGACUGAGAUACGGCCCAGACUCCUACGGGAGGCAGCAGGC
rnacentral:rRNA from 1 species